ensembl:lncRNA
UCCAUCCAUAAGCUAUUACAAAUAUGCCUGAGGAUGAAGGUGCUUUACUUUAUCAGGUAGUUGGAGAAACCUGCCCAGCUAACUGACUGGGAAGGUUUGCACCCUCAGGUAAUUCUGCUGCAGGAGAGUCCCCUCAAGCAUGAGAUAGCCACCUUCCUUGAAAAUCCUCACCAAAUGCUUUGGAAUUCAUCUGCACAGGAACUGAAGGAGCAGGGCGAUGGUUUUGUGUUCCUGAGGAGGAACAAGUGCUUGGCAGGACUGCCUCUGCCUGCAGGGAAACGCCUUCCUCUGGACACUGACAGCCUGACAAAGUCCACAGCUUGCACAAGAUUUCUACGGCUCUCUCCUACAUAUUACCCGCAGGAAAAGAGGCAGUUUCACAGCCGCGACUGAGUUCAGCUGAACUUUCCUCUUCAUAAUCCUAUUCCUGUUUCCAAACGCCACUUCUGCAAUUAAUUCCCC